AAAAAUUAUAUGGCUUAAUGGCAUAAUGGCAUACGAAAAUAAAGAAAGAAAGAACAUUCAAAAUUCUGAAAAAAAGAUCACGCAGCAUGUACUUUCUCGAGGAACUAUGGUGUCAAGAAUGAUAAAUCCAGAACUAUUUAUUCGUCCAAACAAAUUUGUAAUGGGAAUUGGUGUGCUUAUGCUAACAGGAAGUAUCAUUUACUUAGCAUAUGCCAAUUCUGAUCAAAAGCAUGGACCAUCAAGAACAAAGCAGAAGACAAGCAGGCAAAUAAAAUCCAAAUGGGACUAACGAUUUACAGCUCCGAAGACAGUAUUAAGUUCUUAAAAUUUGAAUUUGGUAUAGCAUUUAUUACAGAAAAACAAACUAAAAACUGAGGAUUUUUAAUUUUUGUUUAAGCACAAACACAAAUACCAAAGGCGAUUGCAAAUGUUUCUUUUUCAAUGUUUAUCAAUCUCUUGACAAAUAUAUAUGGCAUAUUUUCUAAGUGUUAA